GGAGAAGGUGUACCAAUAGCCUGCACUAUGCCCAUGGGACCCCUCGGAGUUCAGGACCCACUCCUGUGGGUCAGGAGUGCUACAGGUGCAGCCGGGCAGAGAGCCUGCAGCCCCACUUCAUAGAGACAUAGAAUCACUAAGGUUGGAAAAUAGCUGUGAGGUCAUAGAUGAGGUCCAACCGUCAACCCAUCAGCACCUUUCACGCUGACCACAUCCAUCAGUGCCACUCGGUUCUGACAGCUCUUGCCUACCUGUGUGAGAAAUGUGCUAAGUGAGUAAAAUUCAAAGCAAUUGGACGCUCGCUUCAUAAUGAAGCCCACCUGAGUCAGGAUUUACAUGUAAGGACCUAAAACCAUACAUAUGGUGAAUUACUAACCCCGUCAGGUAAUCUUCCACCACCACAUCCUCUGCGACAUAAUUCAUUACUUCGGUGCAGGCAAUCAGCCCUCAGCUCUUCGGACUCUGGCUGAUUAGUAUGGCAGGGAUGUGCCUCGCCUCCUGCAAAAUGGCAGCUGAUAAUCAAGUGUAACACUCCUCUGGAGUAAAGAUACACAACAAGAAAUAUUUGCAUUUGUUUACCUCUGCAACUCGGGAAGUGAAAGCCCUACCCAGCUGAACUUUCCCAUCUAGAAGGAUGACAUGAAUACAGAAUGGAGAAUGAGCCUAGAGAAAAGUUGAUUCGUCAGAGUUUCUGCCACAGGGAUUUCUCUAGUCAUUUCUGUAGCAGGCUUAAUGGAAAGUCCUCACACUGAACAGUGUGUAACUCCUUGGAAUCAAGCAGCUCACUGAACACGUUUGCUUCUCAAGGUUACUCUGACAGUUUGACAGGAGUCUGUUUUUAUUCUAUGCAGUGGUUUUCAACUUCAAGAUUUAUGAAUGUUUUUUCAGUAGAAGGUGAGUUAAGUCAGUCAAAAUUAAGUGAAAAUAGGCUUCCUUUUUUAAAAAAAUAAUGUUUUGUAUAGGCUUUUUUUUUGCAGCAGUUCAUGAACCUUCAGAGCUCAGCAGAUCAAAGGCUGAAAAACGAUGCUCAAUGUCUUUCUUCCAAGUUGACAACAGUAACUACAUAAAACUACCUCCCUAAAAUGCAGCAACCUGUCUACUGUCUAACUUGGUAUCUCCUUGUAUAUUGUCUGACCAUUAGGUCAAGCUCAAAGAUGUAAGAGAAGGUUAAUUCUUUGUGGUACAUUAAUUUUGCCCUCGUUAUCAAUUAAAGGCAUGUCUCAUCUCUCACUCAGGAUUCAGUCCAAAUGUUACCAAUAAGCAAUUCACUUGAUGCUAACAUUCAGGCUAUUUUCAAGUAUUAUAUUGCUCCAGAACUCAAAAAGUGCAGCAUUGCCCAUCCAACCUAAAACUGUCUUUAUGUUCCUGUCACUUCAUAACAAUGUCAUUUUUUGUGGCUUUGACAGAUACAGUCUUGCUCUGCUCUUAUACAAGCUGAACUGCUGCUGAAAGAAAUAAUCCCCUUAUCUCAUUCCUUUGUCUGUCACUCCCACCUUUGCAUCUCUCCAAUGUCUCUCAUCUGUACAGUGACUCUGUAAGCACUUUGCCUUCAUUUUGAAGGCCUUUGUUCCCAUCUUGUCUUGUUCCUCACUUAGCUUUAGCGUGUUACUUCUCACUACUGAUUUACCCAGUAUACUUGAUUUCACUGCAUUCAUUUUAUUUAAAACAAAUUCCAUUGUGCUGUGCCCUGUAUAACAAAUCCACCCAAAAACACAAGUAUGGCAGAAUUUGUACUGCAACCUGAUGCUGCUGGUGUGCUGAGCCUACUUCUGUCGUGAUAACUGGUACUGACUGAUUAGUUAUUCCAUUUUUACUAUUUCUGUCUGCCAGUUCUCAUCUUUCCUUACAUUUCAAUUACAAUCUCUUCAGCAUAGGUACCUUCUUUGCUUGGUUAGUAUUUAGCACCAUGGUCACUAAAAUCUCAUGUUCCUAAAACCUCUGCAGAACAGCCCAUGGCAGAGCAAGCCACAGAAACUGUCCUUACCCUCCACUACACCCCAAGUGAAGGGAACACAGAGCCCAUCCUCUCUCAUUGCGGUCUUCCAGAUGGAAAUCUCAGCACAGUGUCAAGUCAUGACAGAUGGCGCAUUUUGUGACACAGACAGCCUGCCAUUAGGACAAACUCUUCACUGAAGAGCCACCUGAUGGUAAUGACUUUAAGUCACUGACUGACCUGGGCCAGUUUGAAUCACUAUGCUGAAGAAGAAAGGCUCCAUAUUCCAUUACCAGUCCUUUGAGCCGCCAAGUCUACUCCAUCCCUUCCCUGCUUAAUCUGUAUUGAUAUAUUUAGUAGCAUUUUCCUAACUGCUCGCAUCCAUGCAGAUGUCUGUCGUCAUUUUGUUGAUACAGUCAAUCAAUACUACAUUAAAUGUUACCUUCGGUUUACCCUUAAUUGUCUAAAGUAGAUGUGGUAUUUUCAUUAUUUAUACGGCUAUGCCAUUAAAUUAUGCAUUCCAGAUUAAAAGAAUAAAAGAAUUGUUUACAUUA